CAUAUCCAGGAUUGAUUUCCUUUAGGGCUGACUGGUUUGAUCUCCUUGCAGAUCUCCCUGGCCGUUACCCAUGGGAUAAGAUCUCACCUCAUCAGCCAGGUUUUCAAGGCCCUUGGUGGUAUAACCACCAUCUGCUUUCAUCAUUCAUCCCAUAUUCAUGCCCAGGUCCCAGCCCUGUGUCUGCACUGAGGCUGUAACCUGGGCCUGGAGCUCUUUCUUCUCUCUUAGCUGACCCCCAUUAGCCAUCCACCUUCUGGUUUUGGGAUUUCCCUGGUGGCUCAGACAGUAAAGCGUCUGCCUGCAAUGCAGGAGACCCAGGUUCAAUCCCUGGGUUGGGAAGAUCCCCUGGAGAAGGAAAUGGCAACCCACUCCAGUACUCUUGCCUGGAAAAUUCCAUGGACUGAGGAGCCUGGUGGGCUACAGUGCAUGGGGUCUCAAAGAGUCAGACACGGCUGGGCGACUUCACUUUCCUAGUUAAAGGCCAUCUGGGCCUCUGCUGGAACAUAGUUUUCAGUUGUUUGUGUCUGUAUUUCAGCUUCCCCACAAGGCCCUCUGCAUCUGUGGCAAGGACACACUUCAGAAUCCCACUUAGGGCCUGCACAGUGCCAUGCUCAAUCCCUCCUUACAGAUGACAAGGGGCAGAGCUUCUAAACCUAAGCCUGGCCCAGGUCGGAACAUACAGGCUUUCUGUUAUAAAGAAGAAAAAUGGAGGUGAUCAGGGAAGCUUUCUGGUGGAGGAAUCCACAAGAUCCCACUGAAGGAAGAAAAUGACCCAGGACAGGAGCAGGCAUAGGACUGGCAUGUGGAGUUCUCCAAUCCUUGGAACUUCACAGGAUGAGAGGAAUACAGGUGUUUUCUGUUAUGUUAUUGAAGUGACUUUAGGAAAGUGCCUGGGAUCACCAAAGGAUGGGGGCUGGUCACCAGAGGAAGCAACCACACGUAAUGAGAGUUGGACAUUUCAGUCCCAUUCUCCAUCCCUAUUGCCCUCUCCUAUCCCCGACCUCCAGAGAGAGGAAAGAGGCUACAGAUUAGGUUCAAUCGCCAAUGGCUAGAGAUUUAACCAACUGGGCCUAUGUCAUGAAAUCUCCAUAAAAGCUCAAAAGGACUGAAUUUAGGGAGCUUCUGUAUGGCGGACAUGUAGAGGUACCGGGAGAGCAGCGCUCACAGAACACGCUAGUUCUGUGUGCUCCCCCGUAUCACCUUACCCUUUCUAUCUCUCCCUCUGGCUGUUCCUAAGUUAAAUCUUUUCACUAUGAACCAAUAAUCUAGUUAGUAAAUAUUUGGGGGGCUUCCCUGGUGGCUCAGUAGGUAAAGAAUCUGCCUGCAAUGCAAGAGACACAGGAGACUAGGGCUCAAUCCCAGGGUCAGGAAGAUCCCCUGGAGGAGAGUAUGGCAACCCACUCCAAUAUUCUUGCCUGGAGAAUACCAUGGACAGAGGAGCCUAGUGGGCUACAAUCUAUGGGGUUGCAAAGAGUCUGCCAUGACUUAGAAACUGGACAACACAAAUGUUUUUUGAGUUCUGUAAGCUGCUCUAGAAAAUUAAUCAAACCAAGGAGGGGGCACGGCAACCUCCUCCAGUCUCUAGUCAGCAUUUCGGAAGCGCUGAACUUGAGAAUGGGUGGUAGGAGCAGUCUUGUAGGACUCAGCCCCUAACCCCUGGGGAUCUGAUGCUAUCUCCAGGAGAUAGUGUCAGAACUGAGUUGAAUUAUGGAUGGCCCAGCUGAUGUCACAGAAUUGCUUGGUGUGAGGAAGAAAACCCACAUGUUAGUAGAAUUGGGAACAGAAUUGAACAAGUGGAACUCUUACACAUGACUGGCAGGAAUGUAAACUGGUACAGCAGCACUUUACAAAAGUGUUUAACCACAUCUGCUAAAGCUGAACACGUGCAUACCUGGUAACUCAGCAACUCUGCCCCUAUGUUCCAAACACAUUCUAGGUACUAGAAUGUUCACAGCAGCACUAGCCAUAAAGCAAAAAGCAACCUGGAAAUUCCCAAAUGCCCAUUAACAAUACAAUGGAUAAAAAUAUUCUAACAUAUUUAUACAGUGCAAUUCUAAAUAGCAAUACGAAUGGACAAAUGGCAACUGCAUAGAAACAGGUAGAUAAAUGUCACAAACAUAAGGCUAAACAAAAGAGGCAGGUACCAAAGAGUAAACAUUAUGUGAACCCACUUAUAUACAGCAUUCAAACCGGGCAAAACUUAAUCAAGUGAACCCCCACCGCCACCCUGGUAACCAGUACCCCAGAAGUCCCUAAGUUCUGGGGAGGAAGAUGGAGGGGGUUUAGGGUGGGGGGCACAUGUGCACCGUGGCUGAUUCACGUUGAUGUAUGGCAAAAACCAUCACAGUAGUGUAAAGUAAUUAUCCUCCAAUUAAAAUAAAUUA